rnacentral:rRNA from 1 species
UACGGGAGGCAGCAGUGGGGAAUAUUGGGCAAUGGGCGAAAGCCUGACCCAGCAACGCCGCGUGAAGGAUGAAGGUCUUCGGAUUGUAAACUUCUUUGAUCAGGGACGAAACAAAUGACGGUACCUGAAGAACAAGCCACGGCUAACUACGUGCCAGCAGCCGCGGUAAU